GGGUAUUUGAUUGGGUACUUGAUUUGGGGGCAUUCGUUGGGUGCUCAGCAGGUAUGGAUGUUUUCUAUGAAGCUGGAAUCGUGAGCAGUGUUAACAAGAACUGUUAUAUUGAGGACUUUGACACGAGACGAGUAUCUCGGAGUCAGGUAUUGGACCUUUCUUUUAUCGGAGGCGGUUACUUUUUACUUAUUGUCUUUG